rnacentral:lncRNA from 1 species
CCACCCUUAUCCCCAGCCCAGCUCCAACUGCCGCACUAGGUCCUUGUUCUCUUUGGCCUAUCCCUGCCCACACUGAGGUUCAGUCCUACUCAUACCUUGGGCUCACUCCAGUGCCCUCCUGCCCAGAUUUCAGACCUGACAGCCAGGUAGACCCCCUCCCCUCAAGAAGCCUUGGUGAUCCAACCACCUUCAGUACUGAUGCCCCUUCUCCCACAGCUUCGUGUGGUAAGAGUUCUCCUGGGGCAGAGUGAAGCCCCCUCCUCUUCCCACCCCUCUCCGAGGCUGGGCCCAUAGAGGGGAGAAUCAGUGAAGGUGCAGAGGCAGACAAACAUGCCCUGGGGGUCUCCUGGGGGCCUAGAGAUCAGUGGACCUCCUGUGCCCAGCUUGCUCCCCUUUCCCCACACAGCUUCCCCUGGCUGCUCAGAGAAGAGAAGGUGCCUGGAGAGAGGUACAAGGAGUCCUAAGAAGUGAGAGUGGCCCAGGCCUCACUCAACCUUAGAGCAGGGCCAGGACGGUGAGGCAAGUGAGGUGCCUAGGACCCAAAAUUUAAGAAGGCAAGUGCAGGGGCUGGCCCAGUGGCUGAGUGGUUAAGUUCCUGCGCUCCACUUCAGCAGCCCAGGGUUUUGCCAGUUCGGAUCCUGGGGGCAGACAUGGCACCGCUCAUCGGGCCAUGCUGAGGUGGCGUCCCACAUAGAACAGCCAGAGGCACUCACAACUAGAAUAUACAACUAUGUACUGGGGGGCUUUGUUAGCUCAGGUGCCAAUCUAAAAAAAUAAAAAAAAACCAAGAAGGUAAGUGCAGGGUCCCCGGGAGUGAGUGUACCUAAGGUACCUCUAGUCCCAGCCUCACUGAACUAGGACACCCCCCACCUCCGCCGCCGGGAGCCUCCACAGAAGUGGGGGGUCCUAGAGAAUAAGGCUGGAGAGGAGGAACUCCUGCUCUGGGUCAGGGUGGACAUGAUACCCAGGAAACCCAGAAAAAAGCAGAUGGAGAAUGACUAUGCCUCUUUCAGUUCAAAAAUGGGUACACACUGCCACCCUGUGGCCAUCCAGGGCAGGAUUCCCAAGACUGUUUCCAGGGCGGCACUGGCAGAGGCAAACCAAGAUACACAGCACCUCACCCAGCUCUGAAUUUCUUAAAUUGCAG